rnacentral:rRNA from 1 species
AACGAACGCUGGCGGCAUGCCUAACACAUGCAAGUCGAACGAGACCUUCGGGUCUAGUGGCGCACGGGUGCGUAACGCGUGGGAACCUGCCCUUAGGUUCGGAAUAACUCCCCGAAAGGGGUGCUAAUACCGGAUAAUGUCUUCGGACCAAAGAUUUAUCGCCUUUGGAUGGGCCCGCGUUGGAUUAGCUAGUUGGUAGGGUAAAAGCCUACCAAGGCGACGAUCCAUAGCUGGUCUGAGAGGAUGAUCAGCCACACUGGGACUGAGACACGGCCCAGACUCCUACGGGAGGCAGCAGUGGGGAAUAUUGGACAAUGGGCGAAAGCCUGAUCCAGCAAUGCCGCGUGAGUCAUGAAGGCCUUAGGGUUGUAAAGCUCUUUUACCCGGGAUGAUAAUGACAGUACCGGGAGAAUAAGCGCCGGCUAACUCCGUG